rnacentral:rRNA from 1 species
GGAGGCCCCUGGGGAUCGAAAGACCUUGUGCUUUUAGAGCGGCCGCCGUCUGAUUAGCUAGUUGGUAAGGUAAAGGCUUACCAAGGCAACGAUCAGUAGCUGGUCUGAGAGGACGACCAGCCACACUGGGACUGAGACACGGCCCAGACUCCUACGGGAGGCAGCAGUGGGGAAUUUUGGACAAUGGGCGCAAGCCUGAUCCAGCCAUGCCGCGUGAGUGAAGAAGGCCUUCGGGUUGUAAACCUCUUUCGGUCGGGAAGAAAUAGUUGUGGCUAAUAUCCAUAACGAAUGACGGUGCCGACAUAAGAAGCACCGGCUAACUACGUGCCAGCAGCCGCGGUAAUACGUAGGGUGCAAGCGUUAAUCGGAAUUAUUGGGCGUAAAGGGUGCGCAGGCGGAUGUAUAAGUCAGAUGUGAAAUCCCCGGGCUUAACCUGGGAAUUGCGUUUGAAACUACAAAGCUAGAAGGG